AUUGACUCUCAGCCUUUUGGCUAAGAUCAAGUGUAGUAUCAGUUAUGUUGCGCUGAUUCCUUUAAUCUUUUUUGUCUUUUUCUUCUGAAAUAUUU
rnacentral:snRNA from 1 species